rnacentral:tRNA from 1 species
GGAAGAAUGCUCUUGUGUUUGAGAAACUGGCCUGGAAAUCUAGAUAUGUGGGUUCUAUUCCCACCUCUGCCA